UACGUAGGGGGCAAGCGUUGUCCGGAUUUAUUGGGCGUAAAGAGCGUGUAGGCGGUUUGGUAGGUCCGCUGUGAAAACUCGAGGCUCAACCUCGAGACGCCGGUGGAAACCAUCAGGCUAGAGUCCGGAAGAGGAGAGUGGAAUUCCUGGUGUAGCGGUGAAAUGCGCAGAUAUCAGGAGGGACACCAGCGGCGAAGGCGGCGCUCUGGGCCGGAACUGACGCUGAGGAGCGAAAGCGUGGGUAGCAAACAGG
rnacentral:rRNA from 1 species